UACGUAGGGGGCAAGCGUUGUCCGGAUUUAUUGGGCGUAAAGAGCUCGUAGGCGGCUUGUUGCGUCAGCUGUGAAAACCCGCAGCUCAACUGUGGGCUUGCAGCUGAUACGGGCAGGCUUGAGUUCGGUAGGGGAGACUGGAAUUCCUGGUGUAGCGGUGAAAUGCGCAGAUAUCAGGAGGAACACCGGUGGCGAAGGCGGGUCUCUGGGCAGUGAACUGACGCUGGAGGAG
rnacentral:rRNA from 1 species